rnacentral:tRNA from 2 species
GCGUCUGUGGUGUAACGGUUAUCAUUAUUGCCUGUAAGUUGUCAAUUCCGACAUACAAAACCACCACAUCAAAAACAUCAAUCCUAACAUUCUAUCUUCUAGUCCAAGCAAUAGACCCGGGUUCGACUCCCGGCGGACGCA